AGUUCGGAUUGCAGGCUGCAACCCGCCUGUAUGAAGUUGGAAUCGCUAGUAAUCGCGGAUCAGCAUGCCGCGGUGAAUACGUUCCCGGGCCUUGUACACACCGCCCGUCACACCAUGAGAGUCGGGAACACCCGAAGUCCGUAGCCUAACCGCAAGGGGGGCGCGGCCGAAGGUGGGUUCGAUAAUUGGGGUGAAGUCGUAACAAGGUAGC
rnacentral:rRNA from 1 species